UAGAGGUCCUCUAAGGCCUAAGAUGGCGGCGUUCGUACAGAGGGAAAGUACUGCCGGCGAACCAGGUGUGGAAAGCAGCCAAUGAACAAAUGUGAGGAAAGUACAGAAGCUCGCCAACUUUUGUUUUGUGG
ensembl:misc_RNA